rnacentral:rRNA from 1 species
UGGGGAAUAUUGCACAAUGGGCGCAAGCCUGAUGCAGCCAUGCCGCGUGUAUGAAGAAGGCCUUCGGGUUGUAAAGUACUUUCAGUCGGGAGGAAGGUGGUAAGGUUAAUAACCUCAUCGAUUGACGUUACCCGCAGAAGAAGCACCGGCUAACUCCGUGCCAGCAGCCGCGGUAAUACGGAGGGUGCAAGCGUUAAUCGGAAUUACUGGGCGUAAAGCGCACGCAGGCGGUCUGUCAAGUCGGAUGUGAAAUCCCCGGGCUCAACCUGGGAACUGCAUUCGAAACUGGCAGGCUAGAGUCUUGUAGAGGGGGGUAGAAUUCCAGGUGUAGCGGUGAAAUGCGUAGAGAUCUGGAGGAAUACCGGUGGCGAAGGCGGCCCCCUGGACAAAGACUGACGCUCAGGUGCGAAAGCGUGGGGAGCAAACAGG